rnacentral:rRNA from 1 species
GUGGAUUAGAUACCCUGGUAGUCCACGCCCUAAACGAUGCGAACUGGAUGUUGGGCUCAACUCGGAGCUCAGUGUCGAAGCUAACGCGUUAAGUUCGCCGCCUGGGGAGUACGGUCGCAAGACUGAAACUCAAAGGAAUUGACGGGGGCCCGCACAAGCGGUGGAGUAUGUGGUUUAAUUCGAUGCAACGCGAAGAACCUUACCUGGCCUUGACAUGUCCGGAAUCCUGCAGAGAUGCGGGAGUGCCUUCGGGAAUCGGAACACAGGUGCUGCACGGCCGUCGCCAGCU